rnacentral:rRNA from 1 species
CACGUAGGGCGCAAGCGUUGUCCGGAAUUAUUGGGCGUAAAGAGCUCGUAGGCGGUCUGUUGCGUCCGCUGUGAAAACUCGGGGCUUAACCCCGAGCCUGCAGUGGAUACGGGCAGACUAGAGGUAGGUAGGGGAGAAUGGAAUUCCCGGUGUAGCGGUGAAAUGCGCAGAUAUCGGGAGGAACACCGGUGGCGAAGGCGAGUCUCUGGGAUGAUGCUGACGCUGAGGCGCGAAAGCCAGGGGAGCAAACGGG